UGGGGAAUAUUGGACAAUGGGCGCAAGCCUGAUCCAGCCAUGCCGCGUGAGUGAUGAAGGCCUUAGGGUUGUAAUGCUCUUUUUGGCGGGGACGAUAAUGACGGUACCCGCAGAAUAAGCCCCGGCUAACUUCGUGCCAGCAGCCGCGGUAAUACGAAGGGGGCUAGCGUUGUUCGGAAUUACUGGGCGUAAAGCGCACGUAGGCGGAUCGGCAAGUCAGGGGUGAAAUCCCGGGGCUCAACCUCGGAACUGCCUCUGAUACUGCCAGUCUAGAGUCCGGAAGAGGUGGGUGGAAUUCCUAGUGUAGAGGUGAAAUUCGCAGAUAUUAGGAAGAACACCGGUGGCGAAGGCGGCCCACUGGUCCGGUACUGACGCUGAGGUGCGAAAGCGUGGGGAGCAAACAGGAUUAGAUACCCCCGUAGUCCCUGAGCGGGCUGGCAAGGCGCAU
rnacentral:rRNA from 1 species